AGCCCAUGGUGUGGACAAAGUCUCAUCAUGUCUUUGUAUCUCUCCCAAGCAUCGAAAAGAGAUUCAUUGUCUUUCUGCUUAAAUCCGUUGAUUUGGGCUCUUAGCAU